AAUCUUGCGCAAUGGGCGAAAGCCUGACGCAGCCAUGCCGCGUGAGUGAUGAAGGCCCUAGGGUUGCAAAGCUCUUUCACCGGUGAAGAUAAUGACGGUAACCGGAGAAGAAGCCCCGGCUAACUUCGUGCCAGCAGCCGCGGUAAUACGAAGGGGGCUAGCGUUGUUCGGAAUUACUGGGCGUAAAGCGCACGUAGGCGGAUCGGUCAGUUAGGGGUGAAAUCCCGGGGCUCAACCCCGGAACUGCCUUUAAUACUGCCGGUCUAGAGUCCGAGAGAGGUGAGUGGAAUUCCGAGUGUAGAGGUGAAAUUCGUAGAUAUUCGGAGGAACACCAGUGGCGAAGGCAGCCCCCUGGGAUAAUACUGACGCUCAGACACGAAAGCGUGGGGAGCAAACAG
rnacentral:rRNA from 1 species